UACAGAGGUCUCAAGCGUUGUUCGGAUUCAUUGGGCGUAAAGGGUGCGUAGGCGGCGCGGUAAGUCGGGUGUGAAAUCUCGGAGCUUAACUCCGAAACUGCAUUCGAUACUGCCGUGCUUGAGGACUGGAGAGGAGACUGGAAUUUACGGUGUAGCGGUGAAAUGCGUAGAUAUCGUAAGGAAGACCAGUGGCGAAGGCGGGUCUCUGGACAGUUCCUGACGCUGAGGCUCGAAGGCUAGGGUAGCGAAAGGG
rnacentral:rRNA from 1 species